rnacentral:rRNA from 1 species
AUUGAACGCUGGCGGCAUGCCUUACACAUGCAAGUCGAACGGCAGCGCGGACUUCGGUCUGGCGGCGAGUGGCGAACGGGUGAGUAAUACAUCGGAACGUACCCUGUUGUGGGGGAUAACUAGUCGAAAGAUUAGCUAAUACCGCAUACGACCUGAGGGUGAAAGUGGGGGACCGCAAGGCCUCACGCAGCAGGAGCGGCCGAUGACUGAUUAGCUAGUUGGUGGGGUAAAGGCCCACCAAGGCGACGAUCAGUAGCUGGUCUGAGAGGACGAUCAGCCACACUGGGACUGAGACACGGCCCAGUCUCCUACGGGAGGCAGCAGUGGGGAAUUUUGGGCAAUGGGGGCAGCCCUGAUCCAGCAAUGCCGCGUGUGUGAAGAAGGCCUUCGGGUUGUAAAGCACUUUUGUCCGGAAAGAAAUCGCGCUGGUUAAUACCUGGAGUGGAUGACGGUACCGGAAGAAUAAGCUCCGGCUAACUACGUG